UACGUAGGGUCCGAGCGUUGUCCGGAUUCAUUGGGCGUAAAGAGCUCGUAGGCGGUUCGGUAAGUCGGAUGUGAAAACUCAGGGCUCAACCCGGAGACGCCAUCCGAUACUGCUGUGACUUGAGUCUGGUAGGGGAACACGGAAUACCUGGUGUAGCGGUGAAAUGCGCAGAUAUCAGGUGGAACACCGAUGGCGAAGGCAGUGUUCUGGGCCAGUACUGACGCUGAGGAGCGAAAGCGUGGGGAGCAAACAGG
rnacentral:rRNA from 1 species